UUAGGUAUAAAUUGAUUAAGUUAUUUACCAGAGUACUACGAAUAAAACCAUUUAAAACUCAAAGAGCUUGGCGGUGCUUUAGACUUCUCAGGGGAACCUGUCUCGUAAUCGACAGUCCACGAAUCCACCUCACUUCCUCUUGCGGUCAGUAUGUAUACCGUCGUCGUCAGGUAACUUUUGAAAAUAUAGAAGUUAGCAAGAAAACUUUUAAGUUUUUACGUCAGAUCAAGGUGCAGCUUAUGGGGGAGAGCGGAUGGGUUACAAUUAACAUUCAUAAUUACGGAUAUUGAUUUUAAAUAGUUUAUAUGAAGGCGGACUUGAAAGUAUGAAUUAGUAUAUAAAUUUUUUGAAUUUAGCUCUGAAGCG
rnacentral:rRNA from 1 species